ACACACACUAGUAUUACAUGAACACACAGCUGAACUUACUCGUUUUUAGCGCAUCGGCUCUCCAGAAACAGCUUAUCCAGCUGGAUCACCGCCUGUCCGAGGAACACGUCCAUGCCCAUGACCGCCCGGUGCAUCACGGGCGUUUCAGGCACCACCAGCGAUGUUUGCACCGUUUUCGUCACCAACUCUGUGGGCUGGAUUUUCCUAACCGAAGCACCAAAGACCCUGUUUCCUGUCUCCAGCUGUCACUGUGAAGAAGAAUUUGUUCCCAGUCGAGUUGCCCGCUUCAGUCUGUCUGAACUUACUUUGACGUGUGGCUGUGAAAGACCUUGUUCGACCUCGAGGGGCCCGUGAGGUUACGUCUGCCUUGAGAGUGACUGAUGGGAGGACUGGGCCACUUUAAUGUUGCUGCUGCUGCUGCUGCUGCUGGUGGUGGUGGUGGUGUUGUUGGUGGUGGUGAUGUAGUGCUGGACUGUGCACAAGCCUACAUGUGAGGAAAUCAAUAAAUAGUGGAUAA